rnacentral:rRNA from 1 species
AUACUUUUAUCGCAUGGUAGAAGUAUCAAAGCUCCGGCGGUACAGGAUGGACCCGCGUCUGAUUAGCUAGUUGGUAAGGUAACGGCUUACCAAGGCGACGAUCAGUAGCCGACCUGAGAGGGUGAUCGGCCACAUUGGAACUGAGACACGGUCCAAACUCCUACGGGAGGCAGCAGUGGGGAAUAUUGCACAAGGGGCGAAAGCCUGAUGCAGCAACGCCGCGUGAGUUAAGAGGGCCUUCGGGUCGUAAAGCUC